rnacentral:rRNA from 1 species
UACGGGGGGGGCAAGCGUUGUUCGGAAUUACUGGGCGUAAAGGGCCAGUAGGCGGCCAACUAAGUCCGACGUGAAAUCCCAAGGCUUAACCUUGGAACUGCGUCGGAUACUGGAUGGCUUGAAUUCGGGAGAGGGAUGCAGAAUUCCAGGUGUAGCGGUGAAAUGCGUAGAUAUCUGGAGGAAUACCGGUGGCGAAGGCGGCAUCCUGGUCUGCAACUGACGCUGUGGCGCGAAAGCUCGGGGAGCGAACGGG